GGAAUUUUGGACAAUGGGCGAAAGCCUGAUCCAGCGACGCCGCGUGAGUGAUGAAGGCCUUAGGGUUGUAAAGCUCUUUCGGUAGGGAAGAUAAUGACGGUACCUACAGAAGAAGCACCGGCUAACUUCGUGCCAGCAGCCGCGGUAAUACGAAGGGUGCUAGCGUUACUCGGAAUUAUUGGGCGUAAAGCGUGCGCAGGCGGCUUAGAAAGUUGGGAGUGAAAGCCCAGGGCUCAACCCUGGAAUUGCUUUCAAAACUACUAAGCUAGAGUACUGGAGAAGAUAGCGGAAUUCCUAGUGUAGAGGUGAAAUUCGUAGAUAUUAGGAGGAACACCGGAGGCGAAAGCGGCUAUCUGGUCAGAUACUGACGCUGUUGCACGAAAGCGUGGGGAGC
rnacentral:rRNA from 1 species